rnacentral:lncRNA from 1 species
CCCCCCACCCCCACCUUCUGGGUUUCUGGUGGUUUCUUUUUAAAAUCAGGAUUUAGGCAGCUCCACGUGCGGAGUAGGGGCGGGGCAGCCACACCUUCUCACCCACACAGUGGUGGUACUUCAGCAGGGGGCUGGUGCAGAUGAAGACCUGCGUGCUGCGGAGAAGGACGCGGUUACCGCCGGGAGCCAGGAGCCCGCCCAGGACUCCGCCCGCCCCCCUCUCUCCUUACUCCGAAAAUGCUGAACAGGGCCAGGUGCGGUGGCUCACGCCUAUAAUCCCAGCACUUUGGGAGGCCGUGGCGGGCGGAUCAUCUGAGGUCGGGAGUUCAAGACCAGCCUGACCAACAUGGAGAAAUCCUGUCGCUACUAAAAAUACAAAAUUAGCGUGGUGGCACAUGCUUGUAAUCCCAGCUACCCGGGAGGCUGAGGCAGGAGAAUCUCUUGAAUCCAGGAGGCAGAGGUUGCGGUGAGCCGAGAUCAUGCCAUUGCCCUCCAGCCUGGGCAGCAAGAACAAAACUCCUUCUCAAAAAAAAAAAAAAAAAAAAAGAACAUGCUGAACUGUGAUACAUUUUGUUGACUCUUCUUUUUGUGGAUGUCAUGAAACUUCCUGACUCCACUCAAAUCUAUUUGCCUACAAACUAUAAAGCCAGGCGCCGUGGCUCAGGCUGGUAAUCCCAGCACUUUGGGAGGCCCAGGUGGGAGACAGCUUGAGCCCAGGAGUUCAAGACCAGCCUGAGCAACACAGGGAGACCCUGUCUCUACAAUAAACAAAUCAAUAAGCUGGGUAUGGUGGCGCAUGCCUGUGGUCCUAGCUACUCAUGAGC